rnacentral:lncRNA from 1 species
AUGGAUGGAGGCGCGCGCGCAGCCUGUGGACGCGCGCGGACAGCAGCUGCGCGCCGCGGCUCUGGAACGCGCUGCAACCAACAGGCUCAGUGUCGCGCGGACUCUAGCAAGUUUGAGACAAACUGCAAGUUAAUCAGCUUUCAUCUAAGAAAAAGGUUCAUCAUGGGAAACAGGCUGAGCAGAAGGCGAUAUGCUCCGGCUGAAACUGCAGCUGCUGAGCCCAAGCCCUCAGUGGAACAGGCGUCUUCAAAACCAGCCGAGGACUCUGCCCAGGCGCAAACUCAGGAUAUCGACCAACCAGGGAGCCGAGGGCCCCCGGAAGAGCCAGAAAGGUCAGACGCGUGUUUAACCGAAGAGAAGGAAUGUGAAAAAGUAGAGACCCCCACUCUAGCAGUUCAUGACACUUUAAUGGGGCCUCAAGAAUUGACCGAACCAAACCCUGUUGCUGAAGUUCAUCCUGCUCCAGAACCUGUCCCGGAUCCCUCCUUUUUAGAAACAGAUCCUGAAGAAAGCUCCGAACCAAGCCCAGAGCCGGAACCAAGCCCAACUGAAACUCUGGAGGAGGCAGACCUGGUAACUCAAGAACUUCUCCCAGAGUCACCUUCUCCACCCACUCUGAUUGUUCCUGAUGUCACUCCAAUACCAGUUCUCACUCUGAGUGGACCAUCAGAAGCCUCAGCAGGUGAAGGAGCUGACGGGGAAGCUACCGCUGUGGAGCUUUUCCCAGCGGAGCCAGAAGCGUCCACGGAAACGUCCGAAUUUCUGGAUGAGCUGACAAAGGUGGAGGCUGCAGAGAGCAUGGGGACUCUUGGAAGUGAUGUCAUUGAGAGUGUCGGUGAAAUCCUCAAAAAUUCAGAGCUGAAAGGAAAUGACCUCCUUAAUGAUCUCAUUCCUGGUGAUGUCAACAUUUACGAUGACACUCCCAUCAGCGGCCAGCUGAUCUGAACCAUUGGAGAACUCAAGACAGAGGAGAGGGAGCAUUUCCUGUGAAACCUCAACCUGAGGUCAAACCUCAGUCACCUGAAGUGCCGGAAAGAAGACAAAGAUUUCCCAGGUACCAGGAUGCUGACAGGACAAAAACAAGAGGCUUUUUAUCAGACUUUUGAAACAAACCAAAUAUUUAAACACAUUUUUUCUUUGUAUGCAGCAUGCAUGGUUUCACAAAAAGAAAAGAAUAAGAAAAAAAGUGCUACCAAAAAUGAAACUAGUAUGUUUUUACAUUUGAAUAUUCAUGAAGACAAUGUGCCAAGAGGUAUGCACAACAUAAACCUACAAAUGUUUAUUUUGCAGAAUUACUCAGAGGGAAAUUCUUGUUAUUUUUAAUCAAUUAGUGGCUUGCUUGUGAAAAUAAAAAUUGCUAUAAUACGUGUUUUGGUGCUUUUUUUCAGUAAUAUCCUAUUGAAGAUAACACUUCAUGCGCAGAUUCUUAGCCUGGUCCACACAUGGAGGUCAAAUGAUAGCAAGCCCUGCUCAUGUAGGGGAGAUACGGCUUUUUCGUGGCCAUUAGGGGAAAGAAGAUGCAAAAAGAAAAAGGAGAAGAGAGGGGAGGGGGUACUGGGCCACAUUCUUUCCAGAGGAAGGAGGUUUUCGGGGGGCUUGGGUCAAACGCGACUCCAUUUCAGUUCAUGAGAAAUCUGCUCUUCGGUUGCCUUUCCCACCGCGUCCCCCUCCUGCCCUCACGCCACUGUUAUCCCAACAUCUUGAUCAAACAGAGGAGGGACGUGCUUCAGAAGCUGGAGGCGACAAGAAAAAUGAACAUUUUUAAGAGAGAAAACAGACACACGUCAGGGCAUUUGCUUCAGGGCAGGGCCAGAGGGUAAGUCCCCGUCUUUUGGGCAGCCGUCUGACGAGUCCCCACAGAGUAGGCGAGGUCACCUUCAGACGGUGAUCUCAGUUCAGCUCACUUCUUUUGUGAGAGGACAGUUUGCAGGCUGAGCUGCUCUUCGUGGACAGAGAACAGAUAAACAGCAUGAUUUGCACUAUUUGUGAUUCCUCUCAUACCAGGGGCUUUCUGCACAAUAAACAAAAGUGCUGGAGUCGAGUCCCCUCUCCCCUUGUUGAUUUCCUGUCCCUCUAGGGAUUGUGGUGGCCAAAGCAAACACAACUUGGUAUUUGCUUCUGUGAAGCCAUGUGUACAAGAGCUAUAGCGGAAAAUAGGAUUUAAGGGCCCGAAAAAAGGUCUCAGCGUCUGCUAAAAAAAUACAUUUCUUAAAAAAAAAUAACCUCAGAUGUUGAAAAAAAAAAUGAAUUAAUUCCAACCGAUACCGAAGCAGAUGGAACUUUUUGAUUUGUUUCUUGGGUCAAACAUGAAGUUCAAAGACUAAAAAUAUGUUGACUGCGUGAGAUUUGAACUUUCACAGGUCUCACAAGUGGAAUGGAACAACAAACCAUCCAGCAUAAAUCAGAAAUGAUACAAAUGAUUCAGAUUGAAAUCAUGCAGGUGAUAAAUCUCCUUUGUAUGUUGCAUCUGCAACCCCCUGUUUCCUGUUCCCUUUUACUAAAUGAUAACAGAAACAAAACAAAAAAAGAUUCAUCUAUUUUCUUGACCUGCCAUGUCCCUUUUGGGGUCAUGGGUCUGCCAGAGCCCAGCCUGGCACCCUAAACCAGCCUGUUGCAGGGCCACACAAUGGCAAGGUCACACCUACAGACAAUUUAGAGCAAUCAAUGAAGCAUGUUUUUGGACGGCGGGAGGAAGCUGGAGUGCCCGGAGAAAAAGCAUGCAUGCACGGGGAGAGCAUGCAAACUCCACACGGAGAGGUCCCAGCUGGGAUUUGAACCAGGGCCUUCUCACAGAUAACGCUAACCACUGCUCAUGCGGGCUCAAGCCAAAAAUAAAGAUGCUGUUGAACAUUUCUAAAUAAAGGAGAGAGGGGCUUUAAUUGCUUUGUUUAUUUACCACAACAGCCGUGCAACAUUCCAUUGUUACUAUCAAUUAUUAUGAUGGAAAUGAAUACAAAUUAAGUUUUUCCUAUUUUUGCCUCAGUAAAAAAUUCUGUUAAAUAAAAGGAAGACAAAUAUAUAUACAUAUAAACAGUAAGCUAUUUUAUUUGUUAAGUACAUAUGGUUUUGAAUUAUUCCUAAAAUAAGUGCAGCAUUUGUACAGUAACAGUCUGACCACAAAACAAUUAGGAACCAUCAUCACCCGUGGAUUCAGACUUUUAGAUAAAAACUAGAAAUAAGCGGGUUUGUCAUGCUGAUUCGGAUAGUUACAUUGGAAACCACUUCGCUUCAAAAAUGUUCAUUUUACCAGUCGUGGCCUUUAUUUCUUGGCCAGGUGGACAUUCGUGCACCCCGGUUGGAAAGGGAUAUGACCACAAGAUGGGAGUUCCAGGAGACGCCAUACUUCUUUACUCCAGAGAUGAGGUAUCGGACCUCCUCACUGCUCAACUCCUGCAGCUUCCUUUUCUACCAUUUCAUAGGAGAAAAGAAGGAAUUACAGGCUACAAAAACAUGCACUUUUGGUAGAAUACAUAAAUGUACACUGUGUUUAACAGAGCAAAAAAUCUAUCAAGUCUUUCAACCAAAUUAAUAAAAUUACUAUUUUUUUAUGUAGUUCCUCUUACUCUGUUUUCCACUGAGUAACUGAAAAAUGUCAUUUUUACUUUAUUUGUUCCUGAUCUAUAUGUUCAAGUUCUAUGUGGCUGCUAUUUUAAACACAUUUAAAGAAUGAAUGUCCUAACUUGGUUUGACUAAAAACCUCUGAACAGUUUGGCAGCUUUGCAUUCCAAGCAGUCUGUGCUCAUCUCUGACGCAUGGUUCCCCGUUACUCCGCUCCCUUCCCUCUGCAUCAAUAAAAACAUUUACGGUAGAUUAAAAAGUUGAUUUAAGGCUUCCAAUCACCAAAACACGUUUAUUUCACACAGCAACUACACGAAAUACAUUUAUAUCAAUGAUAUCAUCAAUAUGUAUAUGACUAUAAAUAUCAAUCAAUAUGACUACAAGUGUUCGACAGAAAAGCUCACGAAAAAGAAGCUUUAAAAACAAUAGAAACCACAAACUCAAACAGAAAUAAUGGCUUGCACAAAGGCCAAAAACUAGUAGAGUCUUACAAAGUGUACAUUGAAUAAAGGUAAAAACAUGACGGCUACAGAUUAUAGCACACAGCAGCUCCCCCACAUGAGAGGCUGCACAAACAUUUGUCAACAAAAGCAUCAUAAUAAUAAUUGAGCCCUAGUAUCUCACAGAUGUUGACUACAAGCAUGCAAACACACAGACACACACACUGUGCCAUUUAGAGUGUGAAACAGCUUAAUACAGCUGUGGCGCUCUGCACCAGCUCUGGGCUGUGCUGUGAGAACACUGGCUGCGGGUCAACAUUCUUUCCCUCUUUGCUUCGUCUGCUGCCAAAAGCACAUUUCAGAGAGGACUAGUCCGCCACAGGCGCUCAGGCGUAGUGGUCACGCGUGAUGCCCAAAUGUGACACUGGACGUCUGUCUUCAGGUGCAUGCAGCCUUUUGAGGGGAGUCAAGCGUGGAUCUAAAGGAGUUAUGGAAUAAGUGUUAUGAAAUUCAUACCACGUGUUUGAAUAGCAAUAUAUUUCAUGUCACUGAAUGAACAUAUGUCCUACCAGCUCUGCUGGGGAAGGCAAAAGUCUUCUUUUGAUCUCCUCUGUGCAAAGGAGUCAAAGAAACACCUGUGAGGAAGUUUGAAGAAGAGAAUUCACAGCAGAGCAAUGUAGUAGACAAAAUCCAAAACACAUCUGUAGACGGAAAUAGUGAAAGACUUACGGUUUUGAGGGUUUUUGGGGGAUUGUGCAGCUGAAACUCUCACAGCACUUCUGUUUGUGAGCUGCUUCUGGACAUCCUGAUGCUCUUUCAUAAACACUUGGUUCAAACGGGCCUUCCUGAACCGCUCCAUAGCCUCUUUGAGGACCCGAUGCAGGUCACAGCUGCUGUGGCAGAAGCUUUGAAGGGAUGCAA